rnacentral:rRNA from 1 species
UACGUAGGGUGCGAGCGUUGUCCGGAAUUACUGGGCGUAAAGAGCUCGUAGGUGGUUUGUCGCGUUGUCCGUGAAAACUCACAACUCAAUUGUGGGCGUGCGGGCGAUACGGGCAGACUGGAGUACUGCAGGGGAGACUGGAAUUUACGGUGUAGCAGUGAAAUGCGUAGAGAUCGUAAGGAAGGCCAGUGGCGAAGGCGAGUCUCUGGACAGUUACUGACGCUGAGGCACGAAGGCCAGGGGAGCAAACGGG